CGUUGAUAUGAUGAUAACAUUUGUUAAAAAAAAGUGUUGAUUAAGAAAAAGUCAUACUAUAAUUAUCUGAUCAAUG